rnacentral:misc_RNA from 1 species
AUAUAGCGGUAGGGACGUACCUAUGUCUUAUUUCCACAUUUCGACUUUCAGUCAAAAGAUAGACUUCGAACGAUCAAGUAAGAAUACAUCAAUAAGAAUAAAAUUUAUAUUCUAAAAAUAUUUUCUACAUAUUCAUAUUUUUAUCAAACUUUGAUAAUGUACAAAGUAAAAAUUUAAAAUAAAUUAAAAUAUUUAAUACACGUAUUCACUGUAAAUUAUGUGUAUUCGUUGUAUCUGCGUAUUUUAAACAUAAACACAAAUUAAUCACAUAUCACAGAACAUAUUACAAUAUUUAUAAAUAUUUAUUUUUAAUUUUUCUUUUUUCCUUUUUCCGCGUAAAGUUUCGCGCGCUUUUCGAUUCAAAGAACUGAAUUUAAGCAUUAAUGUGUUCCUAGAUGGCAGAAGCGCAUACGAUUUUUAAAUCGAUUUAUAUGAUUUUAGCGCGAAAUUACGAUAAAAAAUUAUUCUUUGUCGCAGAGAAAAGAUGUGGAUAUCGUUACUUUACGAAAGAGUAACGAUGAGAACGAAAUACUUCAUAUGUGAUGACGAGGAAAUCGAGGACCCGAAUCUAAAUAAAUCGAUCAGUAAAUAGAUCUAGCAUUCUUCCUACUGUUUUACGAUUGGAUAAUGAGGGGAGCAGGGGACGGGAGGAUGAGGGGAGAAGAGGCCGUGUAUUUGUGGCGUUCAAGUCGGUAGCUACGAUUGCCUUCUGGCAAACAUUAUCGUGACACCGUUUUGUGCGUGUUGAAGAGUUAGUGGAGUUCGUCGAUCGGUGCUACCACGGUAUCGACCGGUUCGGUUGAUGACCGCGCGCUUCUGAUCCAUGAAUUCACCGAUAUAAUUUUUCUCGAUGUACAAUUUCCUGUGCAUCGUGAUAUAACAUUUCAAAUUCUGUGACUAUUCUUCGCGCAACAUACUGAUGUAGAACAAUAUGGCUAUCAGCAUAAAAUUCACAAAAUUCGAUAACACACCAUGGGGAUUUCGAUUGGCGGGUGGAAGCGAUUUUCCACAACCAUUGACUGUCAUCAGAGUCACAGAGGGAAGUUUGGCGGAAUGUAUGGGUUUAAAAGUCGGCGACGUGGUGGUAAGAUUGAACGAUCAACCGAUUAGUUCUUUAACCCACGGACAGGCGCACGAGGAAUUAAUGCGAGCAGGAAAUAAUUUUGUUCUGGGUGUGCUGAGGCAAGAAGAUUUUGUCAAGACUGCGGAGGCGCUGUCCGAGGAGAACAUCGUCCCUUAUAAGAUCCCUCUGGCAGAUUUGCCGCCGGUUUUCCCCGAGGAGAUCCUGAAGGAGGAGACCGUGAUCGAACGGCACGAGUAUGAAAUAAAGACGCGGGAGGAGGAGGAGGAGUCGAAGCAAAAGGUGGAACCGCUCCCGGACAAGCCGAAAGACGCCAACAGCGAGAUCGUGCCGAAUCAAAAUCUCACGGACGACGAGAUCGCGCAAUUGAUCCUCGAGGAGGAGGAACUUUUGGACGAUAAAGGCGUGUUGGGGGUGAACUUUAAGAAACUGAGGCCACGCGUCACCGUUCUCAAGCAAUCGAAGGUCAUAGAGGAGCUUCAGAACAUCGCCACAGCCGAGCCGCCGUUGGUCGAACAGUUGAGACGUACCUCGGUGUUCCUUCAGAAACCGCAGCGGCCUGUACCGACACCCCGCAAGAAGCAGGAGGAGGGAACGGAAGCGAAAGAAACAGAGUCGUACAAAGUUGUGAUAAAGAAGCAGAAGAGAAGAAGCGUGACCGACCGGCUGCUGGAGAGGGGCCUGCUGAAACCGGAGGGCGCCAGCACCCCGGACCCCUUUACUCCCGAGGCGACACCAUCGGCCACUCCGGAGCCGGGCUACAGAUCGGAUCAAGAACCUGAAUCGCGGCCAGAAUCGAAGGCCGAAUCGAAGCCCGAGGAGAGCAGCGAGGCCGAGCGAGCGGAGGAGGCGGUUGUAUCGGCGUGCAACAACGCCGAGGAGAAGGUUGAGGAGGAGAAGGUUCGCGGGGAGGAAGGGGCGGAGGAGAGGACGACGCACGAGAGCGUUUUGAACGAGAUCGAGAGGGAGAUGGCGGACGUCGCGGCGAAGGUCGAUAAAGAGAAGAUCAAGGAGUUGGUCACAACGGAGAUCAAUCUGGAGAAGCAACUGGAGAACGUUCAACGGCAGUUGUUGUCGUUGAAACAGCUCCCUACCGAGAUCGAGAAUCACCUGAGAAUCGUGUCCGAGCAACUGCAGAAGAUCAUGGAGUUGAGCGGUGUCCAAAACGGCGCCACCGUUAAGGAGGAGAAGGAGGAGGAGGAGGAGGAGGAGCGGCGAGAGCCGGAAGAGCGAGCGAAAGAGUCGGAGGAGGGGAAAGAGUCGGAGGAAGAACGGGCGGAGGAGGCGGAGGAAACGGAGGAACAGGACGUGACGGAGUACACGGAGGAUAUCUCGUAUUCUGCCUAUUCGGACGAGCAUCUGAGGAUCGUUCAGCCUAGCGAGGAUGAGGGGGAGGAAGAGACCGAGACGCAGGAGCUGGAAGGGACGUUAUCGGUGAAGAGCGAGGAGGGAAGCAGGGUGAAGAAAUUCGUCGUCUCGUACGAGACCAAGGUUCUGAAAUCGCCCAGCCCCGCACCUUCUCACGGAGAGAGUGAAGCAACGAGGGAGGAAACGUUCGCAAGAUCUCUGGCCCCAGGCUAAGCAAGUCGAACUUACACUUGGCCGCAGAUGGAGGUGUCCGAAUGAUUUCUUCAAUGACGAAAUGAUUGCCGAGGUUUUAUCUUCCCAGGCGGAAGUAAUUCGAGGCAGAGCCUUGGGAGUAAACUUUAA